rnacentral:rRNA from 1 species
UCGAGAAUUUUUCACAAUGGGGGAAACCCUGAUGGAGCGACGCCGCGUGGAGGAUGACGGUUUUCGGAUUGUAAACUCCUGUCAUUAGAGAACAAGGCACAUGGUUUAACUGGCCGUGUGUUGAUAGUAUCUGAAGAGGAAGAGACGGCUAACUCUGUGCCAGCAGCCGCGGUAAUACAGAGGUCUCAAGCGUUGUUCGGAUUCAUUGGGCGUAAAGGGUGCGUAGGUGGCGAUGUAAGUCGGAUGUGAAAUCUCCAAGCUCAACUUGGAAACUGCAUUCGAUACUGCGUUGCUUGAGGAUUGUAGAGGGCAUUGGAAUUCACGGUGUAGCAGUGAAAUGCGUAGAUAUCGUGAGGAAGACCAGUGGCGAAGGCGAAUGCCUGGGCAAUUCCUGACACUGAGGCACGAAGGCCAGGGGAGCGAACG